rnacentral:rRNA from 1 species
AGUGAACGCUGGCGGCGUGCCUAAUACAUGCAAGUCGAACGGAGUGUCGCACGGGUGAGUAAUAUAUAGCUAAUCUUCCCCUUGCUGGAGGACAACCGUUAGUAAUGAUUGCUAAUACUCCAUAGCGAGGGAUGUGACUAUAUCGUAUCAGCUAGUCGGUGGGGUAAAGGCCUACCGAGGGUAUGACGCGUAACUGGUCUAAGAGGAUGAGCAGUAACAUUGGAACUGAGACACGAGUGAAAGACCUAGGAGAGGGGGCAGAAGGGAAUAUCACGCAAUGGGGGUAAGCCUAACGCAGCAACGCCGCGUGGAGGACGAUAGUUUGCGAAGAGUAAACUCCUGUUGUUAGGGAAGCGGUACCUAAAGAAUAAGCACCGGCUAACUCCGUGCCAGCAGCCGCGGUAAUUC